rnacentral:rRNA from 1 species
ACAGUAUCUCAGGAAUAAGUCUCGGCUAACUACGUGCCAGCAGCCGCGGUAAAACGUAGGAGGCGAGCGUUAUCCGGAUUCACUGGGCGUAAAGCGCGUGCAGGUGGUUCGGUAAGUUGAGCGUGAAAUCUCCCGGCUCGACUGGGAGAGGUCGUUCCAUACUACCGGACUUGAGAGCAGAAGAGGAAGAUGGAAUUCCCGGUGUAGUGGUGAAAUGCGUAGAUAUCGGGAGGAACACCAGUGGCGAAGGCGAUCUUCUGGGNUCUGUUUCUGACACUCAGACGCGACAGCUAGGGUAGUAAACGGGAUUUAGAGACCCCGGUAAUCCUAGCCGUAAACGAUGUGAACUUGGCGUUGGUGGGUUAAACUCCAUCAGUGCCGAAGCAAACGCGAUAAGUUCACCGCCUGGGGACUACGGCCGCAAGGUUAAAACUCAAAGGAAUUGACGGGGGCCCGCACAAGCAGCGGAGCGUGUGGUUUAAUUCGAUGCUACACGAAGAACCUUACCCAGGCUUGACAUACAGGUGGUAGUAGAUCCGAAAGGUGACCGACCCGCAAGGGAGCCUGAACAGGUGUUGCAUGGUCUGUCGUCAGCUC